UAACUAAACUUGGUUCUGAAUGUUCAAUAAUAACUUUUGCUUGCUUUUUCUUGGCUUGUUUCUAGGGGAUCCAUCCAUCGAUUAAAGGAGAAGUCUGGGAGUUCUUACUUGGUUGUUAUGAUCAAAAGAGCACUUUUGAAGAAAAGACAGCAAAUACGACAACGUAGAAGAUUGCAGUAUGCUUCUUGGAAGCAGGAAUGUAAACAAAUGUUUCCAGUCUUUGGAAGUGGUCGAUUCAUUACCGCACCUGUGAUUACCGCGCCAUUCUAGAUCCUCUUGUACUACAAGAAACAAAUUUAGGGGAGGAUUCUGAUUUCUUCAAAGAGCUUGCAAGUAGAGGACCUUUGGACAAGAAAGUUAUCCAAUGGAUGCUAACACUUCAUGACAUAGGUCUGUGAUCAAUGUCACUAACAAGACUAGUUCUGUUUGUUGUUCAAAAAAAAAAAAAAAGAAUGAGUCUGAUGUCUCAAUUCUAAAGCAGACCAAGCUAAGCGGGCUGCUUGCACUAAUAAAGCCAGAUUGGAGAAGAACGCGCAUUACGAACGCAAUUUUACACUGAAGAAACGUUUUCAUUCAGAAGAAACAAAGACACAGACAAAGUUCAUUACAUUAGACCUUAACUCCUCCUUUUAUUGCAACUCCUUCCACACCAAAAGGACCAAGGGAAAUUUUCUUACAUACAAAAAAAAAAAAACUUU